CUGCUUGGUUUGCUCUUCAGGUCUUGUAAAUCUUUCACUUUUUAUAAAAGAUUUCUGGAGAAGGAAGCACUCUGGAAGCCUUAACUGAUUUUUGUGGUUCUGCUAAAGGAAAAC
ensembl:snRNA U5 U5 spliceosomal RNA